CAGUCGAGCGAGUCUGCCUUGAAGAUCGGAGUGCUUGCACUCUGUGAAACAAGAUACAGGCUAGCGGCGGACGGGUGAGUAACACGUGGGUAACCUGCCCAAGAGAUCGGGAUAACACCUGGAAACAGAUGCUAAUACCGGAUAACAACAGAUGAUGCCUAUCAACUGUUUAAAAGAUGGUUCUGCUAUCACUCUUGGAUGGACCUGCGGUGCAUUAGCUAGUUGGUAGGGUAACGGCCUACCAAGGCGAUGAUGCAUAGCCGAGUUGAGAGACUGAUCGGCCACAUUGGGACUGAGACACGGCCCAAACUCCUACGGGAGGCAGCAGUAGGGAAUCUUCCACAAUGGACGCAAGUCUGAUGGAGCAACGCCGCGUGAGUGAAGAAGGGUUUCGGCUCGUAAAGCUCUGUUGUUGGUGAAGAAGGACAGGGGUAGUAACUGACCUUUGUUUGACGGUAAUCAAUUAGAAAGUCACGGCUAACUACGUGCCAGCAGCCGCGGUAAUACGUAGGUGGCAAGCGUUGUCCGGAUUUAUUGGGCGUAAAGCGAGUGCAGGCGGCUCGAUAAGUCUGAUGUGAAAGCCUUCGGCUCAACCGGAGAAUUGCAUCAGAAACUGUCGAGCUUGAGUACAGAAGAGGAGAGUGGAACUCCAUGUGUAGCGGUGAAAUGCGUAGAUAUAUGGAAGAACACCGGUGGCGAAGGCGGCUCUCUGGUCUGUUACUGACGCUGAGGCUCGAAAGCAUGGGUAGCGAACAGGAUUAGAUACCCUGGUAGUCCAUGCCGUAAACGAUGAGUGCUAAGUGUUGGGAGGUUUCCGCCUCUCAGUGCUGCAGCUAACGCAUUAAGCACUCCGCCUGGGGAGUACGACCCGCAGGUUGAAACUCAAAGGAACUGACGGGGGCC
rnacentral:rRNA from 1 species